rnacentral:rRNA from 1 species
CCUACGGGGGGCUGCAGUGGGGAAUAUUGGACAAUGGGGGGAACCCUGAUCCAGCCAUGCCGCGUGUGUGAAGAAGGCCCUCGGGUUGUAAAGCACUUUCAGUGAGGAAGAACGCCUGGUGGUUAAUACCCAUCAGGAAAGACAUCACUCACAGAAGAAGCACCGGCUAACUCCGUGCCAGCAGCCGCGGUAAUACGGAGGGUGCGAGCGUUAAUCGGAAUUACUGGGCGUAAAGCGCGCGUAGGUGGCUUGAUAAGCCGGUUGUGAAAGCCCCGGGCUCAACCUGGGAUCGGCAUCCGGAACUGUCAAGCUAGAGUGCAGGAGAGGAAGGUAGAAUUCCCGGUGUAGCGGUGAAAUGCGUAGAGAUCGGGAGGAAUACCAGUGGCGAAGGCGGCCUUCUGGACUGACACUGACACUGAGGUGCGAAAGCGUGGGUAGCAAACAGGAUUAGAUACCCUAGUAGUC